AACUGCUCUUCCGAUCUGGAGAAUUGACAAUUCAAGGCAACCUGGGUUACACAGUACCAGGCUAGCCAGAGCAACG